GAUGAACGCUGACAGAAUGCUUAACACAUGCAAGUCGAUUCAAGUUACCUUCGGGUAAUGAGGAUGGCGGACGGGUGAGUAACGCGUAAGGAACUUGCCUCUUGGUCUGGGACAACUGUUGGAAACGACAGCUAAUACCGGAUAUUAUGAGAUUCUCGCAUGGGAAACUUAUGAAAGCUAUAUGCGCCAAGAGAGAGCCUUGCGUUCCAUUAGCUAGUUGGUGGGGUAAUGGCCCACCAAGGCGACGAUGGAUAGCCGGCCUGAGAGGGUGAACGGCCACAAGGGGACUGAGACACGGCCCUUACUCCUACGGGAGGCAGCAGUGGGGAAUAUUGGACAAUGGGCCACAAGCCUGAUCCAGCAAUUCUGUGUGCACGAUGAAGGUCUUCGGAUUGUAAAGUGCUUUCAGUUGGGAAGAAGAAAGUGACGGUACCAACAGAAGAAGCGACGGCUAAAUACGUGCCAGCAGCCGCGGUAAUACGUAUGUCGCAAGCGUUAUCCGGAUUUAUUNNNCGUAAAGCGCGUCUAGGCGGAAAAAUAAGUCUGAUGUUAAAAUGCGGGGCUCAACUCCGUAUUGCGUUGGAAACUGUUUUUCUAGAGUACUGGAGAGGUGGGCGGAACUACAAGUGUAGAGGUGAANNUCGUAGAUAUUUGUAGGAAUGCCGAUGGAGAAGUCAGCUCACUGGACAGAUACUGACGCUAAAGCGCGAAAGCGUGGGGAGCAAACAGGAUUAGAUACCCUGGUAGUCCACGCCGUAAACGAUGAUCACUAG
rnacentral:rRNA from 1 species